rnacentral:rRNA from 1 species
CAGAUUGCAGGCUGCAACCCGCCUGCAUGAAGUCGGAAUUGCUAGUAAUCGCGGAUCAGCAUGCCGCGGUGAAUACGUUCCCGGGGCCUUGUACACACCGCCCGUCACACCAUGGGAGCCGGUAAUACCCGAAGUCAGUAGUCCAACCUCGUGAGGACGCUGCCGAAGGUAGGAUUGGCGACUGGGGUGAAGUCGUAACAAGGUAAC